UACCGUACUGUGGUUUUCUAUGCUCCCGUAUGUCAUAAUUUAUGCCGCCUUUUUCAUUUUGCUGAUUAACGAAACCUAUAAUUGGUAGUUUGUUUAUUAACAAAACUAUAUCAAUUUUAUACAUCGUUGAAGCCAAUAUUUAUUAUUAACUUGAGUCUCACCUUGUUAUUAACUCGUUAACCACUAACUUGUGAUCAAAAAGCGAUUAUUAUUGCUCUCCAUUUGACUUGUGUGAAUCAUGAAUCAACAAAGUGAUAAUCUGAUUUGUAACACCUGCCAGAAGAGCUAUUCCAGCGUCUCGGCCAAAAAUAGGCAUUUGGGAACUGUUCAUCAUAAAGCAAAAAUGCUAGUGGAUAUGUUAAAUGAUGAUAAUUUGGAUAAGUUCGUCAGAAUAUUGGAAAAGGCUGUUAGUGAACAGACUGAAGGUGCAUCAACCAGUAAAAAUUGAUAAGCAAUCGUAUUAUCCAGCAAGAAGUAGUGGUGUGGACACAUACAAAGGGUAACCAGCUGUAUCUCGACCAAUAUUUUUGAAAAUCAUUUUGAUAUGCUAGCCCAGAGAUUGACGAAGACCAUCUAAUAGAAGCUAUGAGGAAUCUAAAUAUAUAUUUUUUUAAACCAUUUAAACGAUAAAGGAAGAAUAAAUUUCAAAUAUGUAAUGUAUGCCGUUUUCCAAUUAUUGUGCUUUUUUACUUGAAUGAUUAUUUAAUUUUUAUUCAAAUUAAAAUGUGUAUUUGUGAUCUUUGUAAAUUGGUGGAAAUGCCCCAGUGGUGAAGGUUUUCUUCGCUUGGUUCAUUCCUUCACAAGCUCCCUGAACCAUGCAAUUUAAAUAAAUAUUAUCAAAACGAAGUUCUUUUCAUACCUGCCCAUUGUAAUGUAAAAUUAAAUUUCGAUGAAAAUUUA